CCUACGGGCGGCAGCAGUGGGGAAUAUUGGACAAUGGGGGGAACCCUGAUCCAGCCAUGCCGCGUGUGUGAAGAAGGCCCUCGGGUUGUAAAGCACUUUCAGUGAGGAAGAACGCCUGGUGGUUAAUACCCAUCAGGAAAGACAUCACUCACAGAAGAAGCACCGGCUAACUCCGUGCCAGCAGCCGCGGUAAUACGGAGGGUGCGAGCGUUAAUCGGAAUUACUGGGCGUAAAGCGCGCGUAGGUGGCUUGAUAAGCCGGUUGUGAAAGCCCCGGGCUCAACCUGGGAACGGCAUCCGGACCUGUCAAGCUAGAGUGCAGGAGAGGAAGGUAGAAUUCCCGGUGUAGCGGUGAAAUGCGUAGAGAUCGGGAGGAAUACCAGUGGCGAAGGCGGCCUUCUGGACUGACACUGACACUGAGGUGCGAAAGCGUGGGUAGCAAACAGGAUUAGAUACCCUAGUAGUC
rnacentral:rRNA from 1 species